rnacentral:tRNA from 1 species
GUUGCUGUAGCUUAAUAAAGCAUGGCACUGAAAAUGCCAAGAUGGGACUUAACCCUUCCCCAACAACA